UACGUAGGGUCCAAGCGUUAUCCGGAAUUACUGGGCGUAAAGCGUGCGCAGGCGGUUUGUUAAGACAGAUGUGAAAUCCCCGGGCUUAACCUGGGAACUGCAUUUGUGACUGGCAAGCUAGAGUAUGGCAGAGGGGGGUAGAAUUCCACGUGUAGCAGUGAAAUGCGUAGAGAUGUGGAGGAAUACCGAUGGCGAAGGCAGCCCCCCUGGGCCAAUACUGACGCUCAUGCACGAAAGCGUGGGGAGCAAACAGG
rnacentral:rRNA from 1 species